CCUACGGGGGGCUGCAGUCGAGAAUCAUUCACAAUGGGGGAAACCCUGAUGGUGCGACGCCGCGUGGGGGAAUGAAGGUCUUCGGAUUGUAAACCCCUGUCAUGUGGGAGCAAAUUAAAAAGAUAGUACCACAAGAGGAAGAGACGGCUAACUCUGUGCCAGCAGCCGCGGUAAUACAGAGGUCUCAAGCGUUGUUCGGAAUCACUGGGCGUAAAGCGUGCGUAGGCUGUUUCGUAAGUCGUGUGUGAAAGGCGCGGGCUCAACCCGCGGACGGCACAUGAUACUGCGAGACUAGAGUAAUGGAGGGGGAACCGGAAUUCUCGGUGUAGCAGUGAAAUGCGUAGAUAUCGAGAGGAACACUCGUGGCGAAGGCGGGUUCCUGGACAUUAACUGACGCUGAGGCACGAAGGCCAGGGGAGCGAGAGGGAUUAGAUACCCUGGUAGUC
rnacentral:rRNA from 1 species